CAGUCGCCGCGGGAAUACAGAGGGUGCGAGCGUUAAUCGGAUUUACUGGGCGUAAAGCGUGCGUAGGCGGCUUUUUAAGUCGGAUGUGAAAUCCCUGAGCUUAACUUAGGAAUUGCAUUCGAUACUGGGAAGCUAGAGUAUGGGAGAGGAUGGUAGAAUUCCAGGUGUAGCGGUGAAAUGCGUAGAGAUCUGGAGGAAUACCGAUGGCGAAGGCAGCCAUCUGGCCUAAUACUGACGCUGAGGUACGAAAGCAUGGGGAGCAAACAGGAUUAGAUACCCGGGUAGUCCCUGUCUCUUAUAC
rnacentral:rRNA from 1 species